rnacentral:rRNA from 1 species
UACGGAGGGUGCAAGCGUUAUCCGGAUUCACUGGGUUUAAAGGGUGCGUAGGUGGGUUGGUAAGUCAGUGGUGAAAUCUCCGAGCUUAACUUGGAAACUGCCAUUGAUACUAUCAGUCUUGAAUAUUGUGGAGGUCAGCGGAAUAUGUCAUGUAGCGGUGAAAUGCUUAGAUAUGACAUAGAACACCAAUUGCGAAGGCAGCUGGCUACGCAUAUAUUGACACUGAGGCACGAAAGCGUGGGGAGCGAACAGG